AGCGAACGCUGGCGGCAGGCCUAACACAUGCAAGUCGAACGAAGUCCUCGGACUUAGUGGCGGACGGGUGAGUAACACGUGGGAACGUACCUUUUGGUUCGGAACAACUAAGGGAAACUUGAGCUAAUACCGGAUGAGCCCUUAGGGGGAAAGAUUUAUCGCCGAAAGAGCGGCCCGCGUUAGAUUAGCUAGUUGGUGAGGUAAAGGCUCACCAAGGCUACGAUCUAUAGCUGGUCUGAGAGGAUGUUCAGCCACACUGGGACUGAGACACGGCCCAGACUCCUACGGGAGGCAGCAGUGGGGAAUCUUGCGCAAUGGGCGAAAGCCUGACGCAGCCAUGCCGCGUGAAUGAUGAAGGUCUUAGGAUUGUAAAAUUCUUUUACCAGGGACGAUAAUGACGGUACCUGGAGAAAAAGCCCCGGCUAACUUCGUGCCAGCCGCCGCAGUAAGAC
rnacentral:rRNA from 1 species